AUAAUCUAAACCUCUCCCAUUUCUUCACGGCAGCCAGGGUGCUCGAAGAGUCAACCUCCUCUCCUCGAAAUCUCUCAGAGCCUGCAUCCUCUCCAAUCAUUGCCCCAAUGCCAGAGUUCACACCCAACAUCUUUAAUGCAAAAGGAACAAUGAAUCAAUUUGAAGAUUCAAGCAAAAAUAUAAAAUAGCUACUUAGUCUGUGCUAUAAAUCACCUCCAUUCCAGAACGCCCUAGCUUCCUGCCACUGAGGGACCAAGUGUUGGUCAUCGCCAGCUCACAUCCAACCUUGGUGAUGUCCUGCAAAGUGGAACUGGUCCUUUCAUCUUGUUGCUUGGUAAUAAACACCAGCUCGUGUUCUCUGUGGAAGUUGCAAUCCGGAAACGCAUUUAUGCAAUGGGACUGCUGCAGGCUAUGGCUGUUUAUCAGAAUCACUCUGUUUAUUUGCACUGUGAAAAACGUCUACUUUCUAAUUAAAGGAAUUAGCAUGUGGAAA